rnacentral:rRNA from 1 species
GAUGAACGCUGGCGGCGUGCUUAACACAUGCCAGUCGAACGGUGAAGCUCCAGCUUGCUGGGGUGGAUCAGUGGCGAACGGGUGAGUAACACGUGAGCAACCUGCCCCUGACUCUGGGAUAACAGCCGGAAACGGCUGCUAAUACCGGAUAUGCACCAUGAACGCAUGUUCUGUGGUGGGAAAGAUUUUUCGGUUGGGGAUGGGCUCGCGGCCUAUCAGCUUGUUGGUGAGGUAAUGGCUCACCAAGGCGUCGACGGGUAGCCGGCCUGAGAGGGUGACCGGCCACACUGGGACUGAGACACGGCCCAGACUCCUACGGGAGGCAGCAGUGGGGAAUAUUGCACAAUGGGCGAAAGCCUGAUGCAGCAACGCCGCGUGAGGGAUGACGGCCUUCGGGUUGUAAACCUCUUUUAGCAGGGAAGAAGCGAGAGUGACGGUACCUGCAGAAAAAGCGCCGGCUAACUACGUG